rnacentral:lncRNA from 10 species
GGUAAAAUUAGUAAUUUAUAUAAUGAUUUGAAGAAAUUUAGGAGUAUACAUGUGGCAAUCUCUAGAAUAAACAGAAAAGGAAUAGGAAAAGCUAAUAGGGUUAGAGUAUAAUUGAAAAAUUAAAAAAAUAGCGAAUAAUUCCAAAAGAAAAUGGGGAAGAAAAGAAAAAGUACAUCCCUCUAUCCUAUUGAGCUACAGAUGAUAAACUAUGAUAGCUUUGGAGAAUUGUGGUAGAAGGAGAGGAAGCAAAAGGAAUUUGUUAUUUGGGUUUCAUCACCACAAUUUAGCGAUGGAAAGAGCAAAUUUUGACUGGUAAAGUGACUUACCCAUAGUAACAUGUACAUGUCAUUGUUGGGCUUAAAAUUCAGAAGCUGUAGAUAACGUUAUAUAUUUUGCCUUGUGUUGUCAUGCCAAGGUAUGUUUCUAACCUUGAGAAUUUUUUACCACAACUUUUUUUUCUAUUGGUAAAACUAAAUCCAAAGACCAUUGAAACUAUCCUAAAUGGAUGGUUGUUAAAUGUUUCCAAUUUUAAAUUUCACAUAUUUGAAACA